CCUUUUUCUGAAAUGUUCAAAAUAACAUUUGAUGUACUGAUAAUUUAUGUAUGGUUUCUGCUGCAAUGCAUUAUUUGCUACCACAUUAGAAAUAUAGUGGGUAUUGUUUUUGACAGGGUAAUUUCUUGUCUCAAGAACUGAGGCUGGAAUCAUGGAAUUAUUCUUCCGCUCUUUUUCGCAUGAAGCAGCAGGACUGAACAGGCAUCAUUCACAAUGAAGAGGAGCUUCAGUCUUGUGCGGAGAUUGCGUACAAGCUUAGGUUUCAUUGUCACUGAUCCUUCACAUAAAGGACUCAAGGUGCAGCACUUCUGAAGGGGGUGGGGAUUAUUCUCCAUUCACUGUGCCUAGAUUGCAAAUGUUCAGUAAGAAGCUUAGGUUUCACUAGCAUGAUCCGUCGCUGUAAGGUAAUGAAUGAUUGUCUGUUGAUAUUCGCGAGUUCCCUUUUCACCUUAUUCCCUUCAGUGUGCUUGGUUUGAUGCUGCAUGGUUGUCCAGGUUAGUGGAAAAUCGACACUUGACACCAGUUUACAAAGUAGCGGGAUGUGUUCCUUGAGAGCUUUGUAGAGCGACGGUGAUGCAGUAUAUAUGCAGCGCCGAGUUGAGAGGCAUACAUUUUCUUUCUGCAUUCAAACAUGCAUCUAAAUGGUGCUGAGGCGCGAGGUUAUUGUGAUUUUACCUCUGGGAGAAAAGGCAGGUGUGGCACAGUAGGCAUGCUUUGCUUGUUUUUUAUUUAUUUCACAUGUGUAAAUUAGUGGAAUUAUGUUUCUUCAUAGAGUAAAUUCAUUUCGUAUGGGAACAUGUAGAAACUUGAUGGGCGAUGAACUGCUCAGUGAAGAGGUGGUAUUUUAUUGUUAUCCUUAUAAUCUUUUAUUUUCUCGAAUCAAGUGCCUUUGAAUCCUUUGACAUGAUGUUUCUUUGUAAGUCUGGUACUUCAAGAACGUGGUAUAUCAUAUUUCAUACAUGUAGCUGAGAAGCUAUCUUUGCUAGCACAAUCCCUGAAUGUGAAAUUCAUUCAUGUUUCAGGUACACAUUUGCCUUUUGUUUCCUGUCUUUGUUCAGAUUGCUUGGUCUUACACAUCAUUUCACUUGACUCGGAAUCUUAAUGUUAUGGCAUGUUUAAUCUUACAUGUCUGAGCUGGUUUUAACUGCUCACUAGAAAAACAUGAUGAUUUUCUAAGAGGCUGAAGUCAAUUAA